rnacentral:rRNA from 1 species
GAUGAACGCUGGCGGCGUGCCUAAUACAUGCAAGUCGAGCGAACGGACGAGAAGCUUGCUUUUCUGAUGUUAGCGGCGGACGGGUGAGUAACACGUGGAUAACCUACCUAUAAGACUGGGAUAACUUCGGGAAACCGGAGCUAAUACCGGAUAAUAUUUUGAACCGCAUGGUUCAAAAGUGAAGGACGGCCUUGCUGUCACUUAUAGAUGGAUCCGCGCUGCAUUAGCUAGUUGGUAAGGUAACGGCUUACCAAGGCAACGAUGCAUAGCCGACCUGAGAGGGUGAUCGGCCACACUGGAACUGAGACACGGUCCAGACUCCUACGGGAGGCAGCAGUAGGGAAUCUUCCGCAAUGGGCGAAAGCCUGACGGAGCAACGCCGCGUGAGUGAUGAAGGUCUUCGGAUCGUAAAACUCUGUUAUUAGGGAAGAACAUAUGUGUAAGUAACUGUGCACAUCUUGACGGUACCUAAUCAGAAAGCCACGGCUAACUACGUG